UCUUUUUCACCACACAAUUUGAAGUUGGGGUUUCGUUUGAAAUUAAGUUUAAUUAAAACCCCUUAAAGGUUAAAGGAAAGGAGAAUGGUAGUCGGCCAUAGGGUGGGUGGGUUUGGCCGUCGGUCGACCGUGUGAAAAAACACGCCGAGCCCGAUUGGGAUCGGAGAGACUGGAAUUAAUUAUAAUGAUGAGAUCAAAGAAAUGAUAAGGUGGAGCUAGGGAUAAUUAACUAAAAUAAUAGUGGUAAUUAAGACACCUUCCGAAACUGCGGGAGUGUAUUAAUUUCCUUAGUAUAUGUGCGUUGUUGUAUAUUUAGGUUUUGGUUUGACGGAUUCAGGAGAGAGAGAGAGAGACUUUUUCCGAUUGUUUUGGAUAAAAUAGAGGUUCAAAUGGAAGUUAAAGGUUGAGCUGUUGAGUGACUACAUUAGAGAGAGAGAGAAAUGUGGACAAAAUUUUAGUUGAGUUUUAGCGGUAUUUAA
rnacentral:lncRNA from 1 species